CCUGUGUACCAACUCCACCAAGCCGAAGCUUUUCCUCCUUGUGCGGUCUUCUUUGCAGCUCAAGUUUUACCCUCAAGUUUUACCCUCAACUCAAGUUUCACCUUGUAAGACCCGUCUUUCGUUGGCCCUGUUUGCCUGCAUCCGUUAGGUUGGCUCCGUCAGGUGCCUCUCUGCUCGCUGAGCCAGCUCGUCUCUAGCGGCUCCAUCUUCCUUCUGUCCUUCUUUUUCUUUCUUCGUCGACCACAGAUUCUGUUUUGUUUCGUUCAGCUGCAAAAUUUAGCCCCCCGUAAAGGUCGAAAAUUUAUCUUCCCUGCCCCAUAUGUUAAAAAAUCCCCUUUUUCCCCCCGUCUUGGCUUCUCCUCUUUUUUAUUUUUUCCCCGCUCCAUCGCUCUGUCCGGCUGCGUCCCCCCAGCCUUUACUGUUCCGCUUUGCCCCCUUACACGCCUUCUCCUUCUGCUGUCUCCCCCUGGCUGCUGACGGAUUAGGUUGCUGCAAUGAUGGCCGAUGUAGCUGCUUCUCCUCACCUCUCCCCGCGACUGGUCAAUUGUUCUUCCGUUGGUGUUUCCCUACUGCUGCUCCUUCUCCCUGCUUCCCAUUUCGCUCCGCCAGGCCCAUUUCAACUGCUUCAUCUAGCUUGUUCUUCUGCUUACGCCUGCCUGUUGCUCCAGGAAAUCUUUGUCGCCCUUUAAGGAGAGGAAUGGGUUUUAUUUUUUCUCUCAGUUUUAGUUCCUCUUUUUUUCCUCUUAUGCAUAAUUUUUUCCUUACUUUCUUGCCAUAACUGUUCUGGUUUUUUCUUUUUUCCACAAUAAAACUUCGUUGCACUUUAAGAAGGGAAAUAAAAAAUUUAUUAAUGUUUUGUCUCCUUGUCUUAUUGCCUAGCUUGAUCUGAUUCAUGCAUCUUGAAGAGCAAUCGUCCAGGAGGAGAAAAGGAAAUAAUAGUUUGAUGUUGUUGGCUUCAGGUUUUUCUUCAUUUUUUUCUGGUAUUUUUGGUAUUUUUCUUCGGCCGAGAUUGCUACAAGAAGGAUAAGAAGUGUUGCUUGAGUGCUCAAAAUAAAUACAUACUAUAAGGAAAGCAAGAGAGGCAGAAAGAGGAGAGAAAAUAGAACACCCGAGCACGAGCGAAAAUGAAAGCGAAGUAAUUAUUGAAAUCAGGAAACUGAGAAUAGUGCUGGAGUUGCAGCCAAAUCUUAGACUUAUCGGAAGUCAGAGAAAUUUGCUGCUCCAGCCCAACUGAUUUGUCCAAUUAGAAAUGCCUCAAAUUUCUUACUCAGAGCCCAAGCUUUAAAUCUUGAAUUUUUCUUGUACCUUCGAUUUAAAUAGCCUCAGUCCCAAAAAAAAUUGGGGCCUUUAGUCUAAAUUACCUGUAAAUUUGCUAUCUUAGGCAUUUAUGACUCAUCUAAUGUCACCUCAGCUUAAUACCAUCUAUCUUUGCUAAUUGGUAUCCUCUCUUUUGCUAUCAUAAACUUCCCAGCGAGCCCUGCAAUGGAGUAAAAAUUGUAGCAUUCCAGCUAAGCAUUUUCUUCUGGGGGAUAGAUCUUGAAGAUUAGCUUCAAGAUAUAAAGAUGGGUUAUUUAGUUGUGUACUACGUGGGAUUGUGGAUAUGGUUGUCUUUGUUUAGUUAUAGCUCCAUUUUCGUGUACUCUGAGAUUGUAAAAGACACUGGAACAUCCCAAGGCUUUGUAUUUGUAGAUGGGAUUAGUGCCAUUGGAGAAAUAGAUGACGAUUUCAUUUGUGCCACCUUGGAUUGGUAGCCACCAGAGAAAUGUGACUAUGGAACCUGUAGCUGGGACCAUGCUUCCCUUCUCAUUCUGGAUCUUAACAACAUAAUUUUAUUAAAUGCAGUAAAAGCUUUUUCGCCAUUAAAGAUUAGACUUGGGGGCACCCUGCAAGAUAAUGUCAUAUAUCAAAUUCAGAGUAAUCAAUGCUGCCAUUCAUUUGUUAAGAAUUCCCCAGAGUUGUUUGGCUUCACUCAAGGGUGCCUUCCUUCGUCUUGAUGGGAUGAAUUAAACUCCUUUUUCAAGAAAUCUGGGUACAUAAGAAGCACCGCCUUGGUUAGUUAGACUGAGAAUAAGGUCCGAUGGUUCAAUAGUUGGAGCUUGGGAUUCCUCAAAUGGUGAAGCUUUUAUUCAUUACAUUGUUGAAAAGGGCUACAACAUAUAUGGCUGGGAACUUGGGAAUGAACUUUCCGGCGGUAAAGUUGGGACAAGAGUUGCACCUGAUCAGUAUGCUUCUAAUACAAUCGUACUACACAACAAAGUACUAGAAAUCUACAAGGAUGUAGCAAACAAGCCAAUUGUUUUAGCGCCAGGAAGAAUCUUUGAUGUCAACUGGUUUACAGAUUUUUUGCACAGGACCAACAACGCUGUAGAUUUGUAUUGGAACAGAUUGCCUUUCUUUUUUUAUUUAAAUCAGAUGGUGAAAAUGAUUUGCCUCACCUA